AUCGCCAAUGAUGACGAUUGGCUUUGCUGAGUCUGUGAUGAACCGUAUGAGCACUGAGGCGAU
rnacentral:ncRNA from 20 species